rnacentral:rRNA from 1 species
UACGAAGGGGGCGAGCGUUGUUCGGAAUUACUGGGCGUAAAGGGCGCGCAGGCGGCCUUAGAAGUCAGAUGUGAAAGCCCCGGGCUCAACCUGGGAAUGGCAUUUGAUACUCUGAGGCUGGAGUACGGGAGAGGAGAGUGGAAUUCCCAGUGUAGAGGUGAAAUUCGUAGAUAUUGGGAAGAACACCGGUGGCGAAGGCGGCUCUCUGGACCGUAACUGACGCUGAGGCGCGAAAGCGGUGGGGAGCAAACAGG